UACGAAGGGGGCUAGCGUUGUUCGGAUUUACUGGGCGUAAAGCGCACGUAGGCGGAUCGAUCAGUCAGGGGUGAAAUCCCAGGGCUCAACCCUGGAACUGCCUUUGAUACUGUCGAUCUGGAGUAUGGAAGAGGUGAGUGGAAUUCCGAGUGUAGAGGUGAAAUUCGUAGAUAUUCGGAGGAACACCAGUGGCGAAGGCGGCGCACUGGUCCAUUACUGACGCUGAGGUGCGAAAGCGUGGGGAGCAAACAGG
rnacentral:rRNA from 1 species